UAUGGGAUUGAUAUUUUGGAUAAUUUAUGCUUAACUAGUGUAGUAACCUGUACCAAUAGAUAAUUGGAGAAAGAACAGAAAACGACGACAAAGAAAGAGGAAACAGCGAUGACAAAAGCGACAAUAAAGGGUGGAUUUAUUUUGCCGAUGAAGGAAGGUGAUAGUCGAAGGUAGAAGAGGAACAGUUUGGUUUAGUGGAGAGGUGCGAUUCGAUUCGGUUCGGUUCGCUCGUUGAUAAAGGAAGGUGACAGUCGAAGGAAGUGAAAGAGGAACAGUUUGGUUUAGUGGAGAGCUGCAAUUCGAUUCGGUUCGGUUCGGUUCGGUUCGGUUCGGUUCGCUUGCUGAUGAAGAAAAGUGACAGCCGAAGAAAGUAGAAGAGGAACAGUUCGAUUCAAUGCAGAGGCGCGAUUCAGUUCGGUUUAAGUAAAAAAAGAAAAAAAAAAUUGGUUUGGUUCAAACAAAAAAAGAGAAAAACACGUGGAGGACUUGAGUCUAUUCGGGGGAGCCCACAUUCAAUAAUGAUUGAUUCGGUUCAAGUAAAAAAAAAGAAUAAAUCGGUUCGGCUCAAGCAAAAAAAAAAGUGGAGAACUUGAGACAGUUCGGAGUGGAGCCAGUUUAGAUAUACAUAGAUUUUUUUGAUAAAGGUGUAAAAAAAUAUUUAAGAAAGAAAA
rnacentral:lncRNA from 1 species